rnacentral:tRNA from 1 species
GCGAGCUUAACUCAGCUGGCAGAGUCCUACCUUGCCAAGGUAGUGGUCACGGGUUCGAAUCCCGUAGCUCGCUCCA